rnacentral:lncRNA from 1 species
GCCGUGAAGGAAGGAUUUAACGGUGAAGAGAUUACUUUCCACUUGCGGUACACAUGGGAGUACAUUGACUGGAACGAAUGCUUGGUCCCUGUUACCAACCUUGGCAUCGAUGUCACCAACCCUACUGGCUUUGGCGAAAACCUUAUUGAGUUCACGGUUGACGGAUGUGGCGACGCUGAUCCUAACUCAGAGGAGUGCCUUGACACCCGGGUGGCUUAUCUCAAUGCUCCUGAAGGAGGUGAG